GCUAAAAGAGGUAUUAAAAAUGUAAUUUUUAAUUAUUAAUUGUCUUGUUCUCCAUUUUAAUGUUGGUUUUAAGAUUAUUUAGGGAAAUAAUUCCAUAUUUUUAAUUAAAAUGAUAUUGCCACAAAUGGCUUAUAGGUUGUUUACUAGAAUGUGAAGUUCUAGAAUAGAGGUACAGUAAUUUCAGUAGAAUUAAGUAUAUGAAAUAAGAUAUUAUUAAAUUGGUUAGUCAAUAUUUAAGUCAAAUAAUAGUUAAGCUAAUGCUUAAUAUUACAUAUGGACUCGUUUGUAACGCUCCAUGAAACGAAUGUGUACCAAAUGACGACAAUUGACGUAAUUAUUCCAGAAAUAAUGAGGAAAAUAUCCAGAAUGAAUGCAGGAAGUGAAAUCCGCUGCUUAAAUAGUGUUAGAUGAAAUAAUGCAGGAAGAAUAAUACUGAUUGGAACGCAAAAUAAACCUCCAACAAGAUUUACAAAGUUUCCAAGUGAGUUAAUAAGAAAGAAACCAAUCAUACAGCAAAUUAUGCUCAAUAUUAUUACAAUGGCUGAAGGUGCUGCUUUCACAAAGUAACUUGAUAAUUUGUUAUUUGAAUUAUCAAUUGUAAACGAAAUUGAUCCACUUGGUUGCCUAAGAAGGAUUUUUGAGCCUAAUUUUGAAUUGAUGGAAUUUGGACUCAAAUUUUCUUUUCCAGGAGAAUUGGUUUGAGAAGUUAUUGGAGUGUUUAAUUUACUCGAAGUUUUUUGAAUGCUAAGUUGUCUAACUUGUUCAGCUGGUGUAAUAAAUUCCAGAAUUUUAUUUUUGUUAUGUUUCUUCCAAUAAUUGUCAAUAUAUUUUGUGAAAAUCUCUUUUACAGGAAAGAUCAUUAGUGGAAAUGAAAGUAAAAUCGAAAUAGCAAAGAAUAUCUGACCUGACAUAGCACCUGCUGUAAUCGGAAGGUUCAAGGUAAUAGUAGAAAAAGUAUUUUCACCAUAUCCAAAUGCUGAAACAAAAGCAAAUGAUGUGGCAAGCAUAAAAACAAAAGUUAUUGCCACAACAUAUACCCAGGUAAAUCUUCUUCUGGCGUUGUAAUCUGCAAUUGAAACAUAAUAAGAUACUACAACAGGACCAGAUACCCACAAAAAAGCAGCAGUGCCAACCAAACCUGCAAUUGAUUCUAAAUCUGUGAAAUCUGAGAUUUUAGCCAUAGUAUUAUUUGAAAUAUUUGAUGCAAGUUCUAAAGCAGAGUAGGCAAAUACUGUUACCAAACCGAUGAGAAGUGCAAUAUUCGCCAUAAUCAUCGCUGGGCCCAAUGACUGAAUUCUACCAAAACAGGACAUAGGAAUGUAUACGAUGAGCUGAAUAAAGGUAAUUAGUGCUGUACCAUAUUCUAUAUACGCAGGCGCACAAUCAUGAAUGCCAGAUAUUACAUUUUGUAUAGCUUUGGUUACAAAAGUAACAAAUACUGCGCAAAAUGAUAACUGUGUAAAUGUAAUUGAAAUAUCAGCCAGAAUUCGUCCAGUCUUCCCCAUCGCUGCAGAUGCAAUACCUGAAUAUGUGUCAUUAACUUCAUCAGCGCAUUUAAACAUUAAAAUGGUGCAAAUAACAUUUAAUAACCAAUAAACCAAAAUGAUUACAAUACUUAAGACAUAGCCUGAAUUAACAAUUGCAAAAGGAGCAAAGAGUAUUCCUGUACCAACAGUUGCUUUUACUACUGUUACAAAUCCAAUAAGCAUUUGUAUCCAUAUUUCUGAUUCUUUAAGUGGAACUUCAACUACUCGUUUUUCACCAUAGUUUUGAUUAUUUGAAUUGCUUGAAAUUAUUAUUGCUGAAUUCAGUGAAGAUGAUUUGUAAGAGCCGCAUUUUUGUGAGUCAACAAUGGACGAGUCUUCUUUCGUUUCAUUUGUAUUACUCUCUAAAUCACCCUCAUUUUUAAUAUUUCUAUUUUUUAGCUCUAUAUGCAUAUUUGGCUACCCCAAAUAAUACUUAGAAAAAAAAAUUAGAUCCUUAAUUAGUUGCUUAUAUUCCAAUUUUCCACCUUCCGGUUUAAAUUAUG
rnacentral:antisense_RNA from 1 species